rnacentral:rRNA from 1 species
GCACUAGUGAUUGGAGGAAAGCAGGGGAUCGCAAGACCUUACGCUUUUGGAGCGGCCGAUGUCUGAUUAGCUUGUUGGUGAGGUAAAGGCUUACCAAGGCUUCGAUCAGUAGCUGGUCUGAGAGGACGACCAGCCACACUGGGACUGAGACACGGCCCAGACUCCUACGGGAGGCAGCAGUGGGGAAUUUUGGACAAUGGGGGAAACCCUGAUCCAGCCAUGCCGCGUGAGUGAAGAAGGCCUUCGGGUUGUAAAGCUCUUUCAGCCGGAACGAAACGGUUACGAUUAAUACCUGUAACUACUGACUGUACCGGAAGAAGAAGCACCGGCUAACUACGUGCCAGCAGCCGCGGUAAUACGUAGGGUGCGAGCGUUAAUCGGAAUUACUGGGCGUAAAGCGUGCGCAGGUGGUUUUGUAAGUCAGACGUGA